UAACUUACCAUUUGAUAAAUCAUAAACUCUGGGUUGAUUUACCCCAAACAGGCAUACCGUGAUUAUGUCGGUUCCAAAACACCUGAGAAGAGUUAGUUUAAUCAACCUCCAACUGGUUACCCAGAGGUAAUGCGCGUGCACGGUGCAUAUAUAAAGACAUUCUCAAUGGAGCGCCGAUUUCACGAGUCACCAUGGAAACUCAAAGCGAAAAAAAGAGAGCGGCGUAGUUCACAGAGGCGGAGUUGGAGGUUUUAAUGCACGCUUAUGAGGAGUUUACGCCAAUAAUAUUAAAAAGAAGCAAUACAGCUGCAUCGCUAAAGCAAGAGAGUUGGCUUGGCAAAAAAAUAACGGACAGAGUAAAUGCAUGAGUGUAUUAAUUACAAAUUUGGUAUUGGCUCCCGUUUUAUUAUAAUGCAAAAUAAUGAAGUAUGACUUAUACAUCCUUUUGAAUAUGUUAUAUCACUAUGAAAGCAUUUACUUUUCCUGCCAUUUAUUUCUUUAGUUUAAAAUAAUAAUUUAUAUUUCUUAUUUAAUAAGGUGUAAUCCUCCUGGAACCACAAGAACUUUAAGCCAAGUCAAAAUGAAACACAAAAACAUUCUGCAAAAAGGUAAUAUUUGAUUACACAAUUACUGAACUAUUAUUAUAACAGGAUUUAGUAUAUUCAUUCUGUCAUGUAGCUAAUAAAAAGAAGACUGAAGCCCGUCUAACUGGCGGGGGUCCACCACCACCUCCCCUCACCCCAUCUGAGGAGCUGGCUCUGUCCCUUAAUAAAGGGUGACCAGUGGUUGCUGGCAUUCCAGGGGACAGUUCAUCACACACACCAUGCACCACAAGUGAUGGUGAAAAAAUUGUAAAAUAUACUGAUGGAUGUAUUGUAUUAUUGGACCCUCCAGAAAGAACACAGUCUGUCACAGUUGUAAGAUGAAGAUGAUGACGAUGAAGAGACCACAUCUGCUGUGACAGAAGUGGACAAUGUUGGUAGAUCCACUGAGUACAUACCUAGGGAUUUGCCCACAGAUGAGGGUCCUUCAACCUCAGCACACAAUCUAAGCAGGUUGCCAGCAAAGGAGCUGUAUAAGGUCCAUCUUCAAAAACAAAUAAGAAAAAGUGACAUGGAGAUGGACCUUAUACCGCUUCAAAUGGAAGAGAAAAGACUCCUCAUUAAAAAAGCAGCAC